UAGAAUAAAUAGAACACUACUCCAUAUGGAACAAUUAAUGCAAGUAGAACAACUACUUCAAAUAGAAUAACCACUUCACUUGGAUGACAGUAAAAGCAACUCGGAAUAAGUGGCAGGGUUCAUGGGUUACUUUCAUCUUGGGAUGUUCCAAAGAGUUUGGCUUGGUGGCUCGGAUAUGGAGGUAGUUAAGAGGUCUUCCUCUUAACCCUUUCUUGAAGUACAAGUGUUUCACCCUCUUACCUUGUUCUCGUAUACUUAUUCAUGUACAACUUAUUCUCUUGUACCUAUUCUCGUACAGCUUCUUCUCUUGUACCUAUUCUUGUACACCUCUUUUCUAUUACUUUUACUUGAGAACAAGUCUUACUACAUCCAAUUACAGUAACGGUUACUUACAUUAAUAUUCUUCAUAAUAAUGUCAUUCAUUAUGCGCAUUAAAGCAUAUUCUUAUGUAACCGUCACUUUUAGCACUAUAUAUAGAGCCUCACAAUUCAUUUGAAAUGACUCUUUUUUCCCUCUCCAAGCUAACACAUUCUCAACUUGAGAGCUUCUCUCUCUAAAUUCUUUCUCUAAUUAUCUUGUACUCUCUAAGUCUCUUUAAGUCUCUUUUUAUUGUCUUCCACCUGCUACAGCACUUAGUACUUUAGGAACUGCUUCAAUCUUCCUCUCUACUGCCUCUAGCACAUCCUUUUACUUGUUUGCAACGCUUCCUCUCCCUAUCACAAGAACCCCCUUUACAUUUUGGCAACUCUGCUAGGGAUGAGUGAUUGCAUUAGGUAAAAGUUUACUAGAAAAACUUUUAAGUUAUUGAAAAAGAUGGAGAGUUCCACUGGCUUACUCACUUCGAUAGAAGGAAUACUCCAACAGUGAAUGCAAUUUAAGGAGGAGGUAGAGAAAGAAGAGAUCUUUUUCAAAAGGAAAUAUUCCACAAAGAAAUGCAAGCAGAAGAGUUAUUGAUUGAGAACAAUAGGGUCCAGAACAACCCGCUUCCUGCUCAUGUAUGAUAUUACGAUGACCUUGACUCUUCAUUGCUUUAUGAAUUGCAAUUUGACGUUAAAAAAAAAAAUUUCAUAUUCAGCCGCUAGCUUUAUCGCUUAUAUUUUGGCUGUAAUUAUAUUAUACUAUUGGUCACAAGCUUUAUCGCUUAUUCUUUGACCAUAGUUCAUCAUUCUUACUUCAGCCGCAAGCUUUACCGCUCAUAUUUUGGCUGCAAUGAUGUUCUGCUUUUGGUCGCGAGCUUUAUCGCUUAUUCUUUGACCAUAAUUUAAUAUUCACAUUCCAGUCGCUAGCUUUAUCGCUCAUAAUUUGACUGUAAUGAUGUUAUGCUAUUGGCCGCUAGCUUUAUCGCUCAUUUCUUGGCCCUAGCUUAUUACUUACAAAUUGGUCGCAGCUCUUAUGCUUAUUUAUUUUAAGGGUUGAAUUAAUCUCCUUCAUAUCAAGUUAGAGUUAAUCUCCUUGAUGUAAAGUUGAGAGUUCCCUUUUGACCAUAUACAAUAUAAGAAAUGUGAAUAAAUACACGACAAGCGUAUAGCAUUAUUAUUAUUGCAAAAGAAAAGAAAUAUGAUAUGUCAAUAGCGAAGUACUAGCUCAAAUGAGCUUUCAAAAAUAGUAAAGGAAGGGCAAAGGACUAGUCAACUACAUACUCCAUAGAGAAGAGUUAUUAUUUGCAAAUACAUCUAAUUGUUCUUGUACUUCUGUAGACACUAUAAAAAUUAAAAUAAAAUUAAAAAAAAUCAUUAACUAAAAAUAAAUGAAAAAUAAACAAAAAAGAAAAAAUGAGAGAGAGGUACGACUGGUAGGGUGCGGACGCACCCUGCCAACCACCACCCUCACCCUGCCAGAUGUGAAAAAUUCGCGUCUGGCAAGGUAGUGGAAGCGUGCCCCCUUCAACCUAGUAUAAAGGGGGCACUGUAGCAACCAGGGGGGAGGAGCCACAACUUACAAACCAAAAAACCCUAAAAAAAUCCUAGCAACAAACAGAAAACCAAAAUCAAAAAUUCUAUUCUAGCAGCCAACCAACCAAUAAACCACAAUCAAUAGUCAAAAAUCAAUAAAAAAAUGCAAAAAAUAGGAGAAAUAGGAAGUGAUUUUUUAAAGUGUGGGUUUUGAUUUUUAGGGAGAGAUCUGGAUUUUUAGGAGGGAUUUUGGGUAAUCGGUGGAGUGUUUUUAGUUUUUGGUGGUUCAAAUCUGGUGAGAGAGACCUUUUUUUUUUUUACCGCCGGUUAAAAGAGAUAUUUUGGGGUUGGUGUUGCCGGCUAGAAAAUAGGGGGUGAUUUGGGUUGUUAUGGGAGAGCAGAUGUAGGCGGCCGAUGGUAGAAAGGUCCGAUUUGGCCGACGUCGGUGGGAAGGAAGAGAAAAGGAUCUGUCUUGAGAGCCGACAACUGUGAGGGACAAAGCCCAAUCGACCCUGGUUAGAGGAGAAAGAAGAGUCGGUCCGGGUAGCCAGCAACGUCGCCGGUUGGGGAGAGCCCACCAUUGGGGAGCGACACCGGCGUGAAGGUGAGAGGAGUUGAGAGAUUUAGGGAGAUCUGGUCUAAGCCGGUCAGUGGGGAGAAACGCUGGCGUGAGAGAGAGAGAGGAGAGGGUUCGGUGGAAGAGAGAGAAAAUGGGGGCAGAAAAUGAAAGCAUGAAUAAGGAAAAGGGUUUUUAUACUUAGGUAUAAACCAAAACGGCACCGUUUUGAAAAAAGGUUGCAACCAGAAACGACACCAUUUAGAGAGAGAAGGAACUGAGUCCUUGAAGUGGGUAGGCGGGCCGUCUCCCAAUCUGGGCUCUCUUUGAACAGGAUUCGGGCCGCAGAGAAGCAAGUGGACAAAAUUGAGUGGGUAUUGGGCCCAUAAAGGUAAACUCUUUGCCAUGCUAUUAAGGUCUGCAAUGAUUUGGGUUAGUUCAUUUUGUUAGCUUUCGGAUUUAUUAUUCAAUUAUUUAGGAUUAGGAUUGAAGUACUUUAAUAUAAUGUUUUUAAGAUUUUUAAGAGGUUAUUUUUCAAAUAAAGGGAACAAUAUAUAUAAGGGAAUAUAAAUAUAUAUAUAAUAUAAAAAAUAAAAAUAAAAAUAAAACUUGCAUAUUUAGUUAAGGAAAAUUUAAAUAUAGGAAAAUACUUGUUAAAAGUAUUUAAACUUAGGAAAGUGAAGUCCAUAUAAAAAAUAAUAUAUAAUAAAAUAAUAAUAAAAUAAAUAAUAAAUAAACAAAUAUAAAUGAUAUAAAAUAUCAGAGUAUUAAUUACGAGUGUAAUGAACCAAUGAUGGGAUGGUCGGUCGGGACGCGAGAAGUCGCAAUCCCAGGCCCAUUUUCCCUAAGUUCGGGGAUCUGAAUUAAGGCUCCACCAGUAAGAUGGGAGAGCCUCGAUUUCGAGAUCUCAAAAUUUUUUAUAAAAAUAAANNNNNNNNNNNNNNNNNNNNNNNNNNNNNNNNNNNNNNNNNNNNNNNNNNNNNNNNNNNNNNNNNNNNNNNNNNNNNNNNNNNNNNNNNNNNNNNNNNNNNNNNNNNNNNNNNNNNNNNNNNNNNNNNNNNNNNNNNNNNNNNNNNNNNNNNNNNNNNNNNNNNNNNNNNNNNNNNNNNNNNNNNNNNNNNNNNNNNNNNNNNNNNNNNNNNNNNNNNNNNNNNNNNNNNNNNNNNNNNNNNNNNNNNNNNNNNNNNNNNNNNNNNNNNNNNNNNNNNNNNNNNNNNNNNNNNNNNNNNNNNNNNNNNNNNNNNNNNNNNNNNNNNNNNNNNNNNNNNNNNNNNNNNNNNNNNNNNNNNNNNNNNNNNNNNNNNNNNNNNNNNNNNNNNNNNNNNNNNNNNNNNNNNNNNNNNNNNNNNNNNNNNNNNNNNNNNNNNNNNNNNNNNNUUAGAAUAAAAAUGUAAGGUAUAAAAAAUAAUAAGGAAUAAAAUAAAAAAUAUAAUAAUAAAAAAUAUAAUAAAAUAAAAAUAAUAAUUAAAUAAUAAUAAAUAAAAAAUAGAUAAUUGCAUUAGCAUAGCAUAUAUAUAUAUAUAUUGCAUCAUGCAUAUCAUUGUAUAUAAAUAUUUCUGUUUUCGAGUUUAAGCCCCGAUGAUGGGAUCUUCCGAGGAUCUUGCGAAGGCGGGUAUUUCUCGAAAAGUUUUCUAGGUGAAAAGAUGUCAUCGGGUCCCACUAGUAUGAUGGGAGGGCUCGAGAAACAUCUUUAAUAAAAGGCUUUGCCCGAAUUAGGUUCAUCAUGCACGAAAAUAUAAUUUAAAAAAAAAACGUACGAUGACCCCGAUGACAGGAUUUAUUCGUUUGCGAAGGCGAAUUUAUCGAAUAAUUCCCUAGGUGAGAGAAUACCCUAGAUCCCACCAAUAUGAUGGGCGGAUCUGGGAGAAUAUCCUCAAUAAAAGGCUAUUCGUCUAACAUAUUUUUAUCCCACGCCAUGCAUUUCAUCUUGCCUCACAUUUGCAUUCCAUUUCAGGUUAAAUAAGAGAUAAAAUAAGAGAAUAAUAACUAAAAAAAUAUAGUGAAAUUAAAAAUUAAAGCCUAAUAAGAUAAUCUAAAAAUGGUACCGUUCAUGGAACGGGCCUCCCGAGGGUGCUAAUCCUUCCCCGAGCGUAACUGUACUCCCGAACUUAGAUCUAGAAAAACGUAGACUAAUUUAGGGUUCUUUUCGGUGGGCUUAAAAUUAAUUUAAGGCUUCAUCGAUUAGAAUCGAGUCAAUAGGUGGCCAAUCGCACCUAGUAAAAAAAAUUGGUGGCGACUCCUAGUUUUUUAGAGUUUUCACUAGCGUUUGGCAAUCUGGUUCCCGGACCCGCACGUUACAACAACUUCAGCUUCACAUUUUUUCAGUAAAGCUAUCUUCGCUACAAUGUCUUCUAACUCAUUUUCCAAGGAAGACUUGUUGAGAAAUAUCUUGGCUUUGGAUCUACAAUCACGGAGGCACUCAAGCUUGAAUCCAAAGUUACAAGCAUCAUCGAAAUCCUGUAACAUCUUUUGCAAUUCCUCUAGUGAAGUACUCAUUAGUGGAGCAUGAGAAAUGGCUAAAGCUCUACCCAACACUUCUAUCAUUAAGCAAAUGACGUCUACGUUCUUUACAAAUGAGGUACUCCAAAACUCUCUCUCUAUAUUGAAAACAUGCUCCAAGUAUGCCACAUACUCCAAUGAAACUUGAAAGCCAUGGAAGUCAACUUUCUUACCACUUUGUUCAGUGUGUGCUACUUGAGUGCCAGAAGCACUACUUGCAUCUUUGUGUUAUGGCACUAGGGAAGACGAAGCACGAGGAGUCAUUGAAAUAGCUCUAACAUCAUCAGUAUUAACUCCAACGUCAUGAAUAACCUCAAGAUUUGGGGUAGCCUCAAGAACAACUUCAACAGCAGGAAUAGUCUCAGUGUUAGGAACAACCUCAUCUUGAGUAGCCUGCGGAGUAAGAACAAUCUUAAUUCAAAAAAAAAAAACGGAACAACAUCAAUCGAAGUAACAUAAUAAUAUGUUUAUACUUGGCUCAUGGUAGAAUUCUAAACAUGAUUUGGAAAUAAAACAUCCAAAUCAAUGAAAUCAUCAAAAGGGAUUGGCUCACCCUCAACUUCAGCUUUAUCAACAUCAACCGAUUCAUCAUCAGAUUCAUCACUACGUUCAGAGUCACAUGAUUCUUCCUCAGUCUCAGCUUCAAAAGUCUCUUCCUCUUCAAUCGAGUUAAAGUUCUACUCUUGCAGUUGUUUCUCUCUACAAAAAAAAAAGUAUGAUGAGGAAAUGAAUUUAAAACAAAAAAAAGAAGUAGAAGAAGAAGUAAAAGAUAAACUUACUUUUCGAUGCACAUGUUUUGUUUGAUGAGUAAAAGCGCGAGGAGCAUCAUCUUCUUCUUCAUUUACAUUUCUUUUCUUUUUGAGAGAAAUCAAGCGUAAGGAUACAUUGGAGUUACUUAUAGGAGGAGUGUAGAGACAAGCCCUGGGAUUAGUCAAAGGCAUAAUAAAAUAUCUUCAUUCUUCAACACACUCCAUCCAAUAAGCAAACCAUCAAGAAGUGUGAGUACCAACUCUAUCAAAAGCUAGGACAGUACAACUCUUAAGUUUAUCUAAACGGAGUUGAAGUCCUGCCAUGAGGAAUAAAGAAACGCAAGAAGAAAAACUUAUAGUUGAAGAAGAGUCAGGCAGAGCUGGUUGAUCAAACCCAAAUUGACAUGCCACUCUAAAAGAAAAAUAUAUCUCAACAGAAAGAAUAUUUCUAUCUCCACUUGAAUUGGAACUCUCAAUCAUAAAUGGCAAUUGGGAACUGUGAACCCAUACACAAAAGUUAAUACCUUGUGAACUCAUUCUUCUAAACUGUAGAGGGUAGCGAUCAUAAUAAAUUCCAGGAUCAUUGAAUCCAUUUAUGGGCUGCACUUAAGGUCUGGGAUUGAAUUCUUUUGUCACAUCCAUCACUUCAAGAACAUUACCUCUCGAGAGUCGAUCAUGCCUUGCCCAAGCUCUGUAGUUAUUCCUGGAUAAAGGGUUAUUCACAGAAAAAGAUGCAAAAGGAUAUGCAUUAGGCACAGGAGCGCAAGUACCAAACUUUUCCCAUAGGCACAUCUGAAUGAAGGAAACGUCCACAUAAGUCAAAACCUUGUAACGCCCAGCUGAUUCAACAGUUUUGAGUUGGUACAAGUCUAAUCUCUUAUAUAAGGAGCUUAAAUAUAGUGGAGCUUAAAUAUAGUGGAGCAAGAGGAAAAUGUAUUCCCUUAACAAUUUUUAUUGCUAAAGGAACAACUGCUAAAGAGAUACCAUCAUCUGGACACCUUGGGAGUACGUGUCGUGCCAAACAAAAAAUUGUUAAAGCUACUAGCUCAUACUUAUGGUUUGGGUAUUCAGGAGAACCGAUCUCAAUACCCUUAGCAUUGAACUUUUUAUAAAAAACUCUUAUCUAAUUAGAAAAUUGUGCAGCCUUCGAAGUUUUACUCAAACUCUUAAGUAGAUCGAAAAAAAAGUCUCGAGUACAUACCUCUUCUUCAGAAAGCUUAAUAGAGUGAAAAUCAUCCUUUCCUAUACAAGGAAGUUCCAAGAGAACACAUACAUCUUUCAGAGUGAAGGUAAAUUCCCCUCAUGCAGUAAUCAUAGUAUGAGAAAACGUGCUCCACCUCGCAAGAAUAGCACGCCACACAUUUAUUCUUUUUUCUCUACGAAUAUUGAGCUUGGAAGUGAUACGUAUAGCAUCAAGUAUCCUAGCAGAAGAGAGAAGUUUAACAUAAGAAGAAUUCUUCAACACCUUAGUUACCCAUUCAUCCCAACCAUAAACAAAUUGAGAAUUGGAGCCUAACUUAGUAGCAGAAAAGGGAAACUCACCACGUUCAAACCUGAAUUUCAGAAUAGAUGGUCUUGGAAUACCACUUCUUCUAUGAGGAGGUGCUUCUGAGCAUAAACGAUUCCAAUCAUAUCCAACAGACUCAGAGGGAUGUUCGUCAACUUGUUUGGCACGAGCCUCUUCCCAAAAACGAUAUUUUCCUCUUUCUUUAAUAAUUUCAUCUUCCCAAUUUUCAGAAACAAUAGGAACUUCACCACUCUUUUCUACUAUAAUUUUCUUGGGAGCAAUUAAUUUGGAAUCACUAUUCUUCUUUUUAUGUGUAGUGGUUUUUUUCCUUGUUGCAGCCCUUCCAGACUCACCAUAAUUGAUCUUCGAAGGGACACGCGUCCUAGGUAUAGAGGAUGAUGAAAAAAAUUGCCUACAAACAUGAUCAUGGAAAAAGAGAUAAGUAUACAUACUCAAUAAUUUUUUAUUUUUACUUAUUUAUUAUGCAUUAAAAAAUCACAAAUAAAACUUAUCAAAAUUAUAGAUUUUGAUAUUAUUAUUUUAAUAUUCAAAAACAAACAGAAAUCAUACCUGUCGUGCAACGAGCCAAGUAAAUAAAGGAUUGAAACAAAGUUAGAGUAACAUAAAUAUUCUUGCUUUGUGAUUUUCUUCUAUAAUUAAAAUAUUUCAUGCAUAAAUUUUUUUCUCAUAUUUUAAUUAAAAAAAAUUUCAUGUAAGGGCAACAAGUAAGAAAAAUUCAACUAAUUAAGUCAAUUGAUUGAAAACAAAAUUAAAAUAUAUAUAUAUAAAUAAGAAAAAAAAAACAAACUUACUUGAAAAUAUUCGCAAAAGAAUCGACUUUACUCUAAAAUUUGUUUUGCUUUACUUUUAAUAUGAAUGAAGAAAAUUGUUCAUAGUCACUUGAUAUUUAUAAGCCACAUUGAAUCAAGGUUUUUAUGGAAAAUAUAUUAAAUAUUAUUACAUAAUCAAUAAAAUAUUACGAAUAGAAUCAAGGUUUUUUAUGAAAAAGAUAUUAAAUAUUAUUGCAUAAUCAAUAAAAUAUUACAAAAGAUAUUGAAAUUAAAAAAAUACAAUCAAAUAUUAUGAAAGACAUUAAAUAUUAUUGCAUAAUCAAUCAAAUAUUACAAAAAGAUAUUGACAUUACAAAAAAAAAAAAUAGUAUUACACCUUACACAAGAUAGUAACAUGUUACUAUCUAAAGUAUUACUGGCUAAGGUGUUACUGUCUAAAACAAUACUGCCCAAAGCAUUACUGCUUAAAAUGAUACAGUACAAAAAAAAAUUUGCUUUAAAUUAAUACAUAAGAAUUAUUUUUAACAAUAAAUUCUUAUGCAGGGGGCAAAAUGUAGAUACUAGAUUUUGGUUAAUACUGUUACUCUAAAGAAUUAUGUUACAAUAUAAUGUUGUACAGAGAACAACCAGAACAAGUGAAGUGCUACUUCACGCAGAAUAAGUAAAACAAGUGAAGUGCUACUUCACGUAAAAUAAGUAGAACAAGUGAAGCGCUACUUCACGCAAAACAACUAGAACAAGUGAAGUGCUACUUAACGCAGAAUAACUAGAAUAAAUAGAACACUACUUCAUAUGGAAUAAUUAAUGCAAGUAUAACAACUACUUCGAAUAGAAUAACCACUUCACUUGGAUGACAGUGAAAGCAACUCGGAAUAAGUGGCAGGUUCAUGGGUUACUUUCAUCUUGGGAUGUUCUAGAAAGUUUGGCUUGGUGGCUCAGAUAUGGAGGUAGUUAAGAGGUCUUCCUCU
rnacentral:lncRNA from 1 species